CGGCACCAUGCACAUGACGCAUGCUUUUGCCCACUCCAUCCGCAGUGUUCGAUUCCAAAUCUAUUCUCCGCAGUCCCAGGAUGAUAAACUUCCGCACCUGCGUCGAUACAAUCAAUGAAACCCCCCUACUAACAAACGAAAGCUCUCCCCUCGUCUUCUCCGCCGCCCUCUUGAACCCCUCUCCCUUUUCAUCCAAAGCCAACUCCAAAGCAGCCAGCCUGCUCCAAUUUCCGAACUUCCCUUAGCCCAGCCUCCUCGCAUUCCACAACACCCACCCCCCGCGCCCCGAAGCCGAAACCAGCAGCCAUGGCGGCCAACUCCUCCGCCGCCCCCUUCCUCUCCUUCUCCUCCUCCCUCUCCUGCCCCUCCCCCAGUCGCCGCCUCCUCCCCCUCCCCGUCCGCCGCGGCUCGCCGCCCCUCCGCCGCCGGAUCCCGGCCGUCCAGGCCAAGAUCCGGGAGAUCUUCAUGCCGGCCCUCAGCUCCACCAUGACGGAGGGUAAGAUCGUGUCCUGGGUCAAGGCCGAGGGCGACCGCCUCUCCAAAGGCGAAAGCGUUGUCGUCGUCGAGUCCGACAAGGCCGACAUGGACGUCGAGACCUUCUACGACGGCAUCCUCGCCGCCAUCGUCGUCCCCGAAGGCGAGACGGCCCCCGUCGGUGCCCCCAUCGGCCUCCUUGCCGAGUCCGAGGAUGAGGUCCCCCUCGCCAAGGCCCAGGCCCAGUCCCAGUCGCAGGUCCAGUCCCACUCCUCUUCUCCUCCUUCUCCCCCUCCUCCUUCCGAUCCCACCCCUUCCCCAGCUCCGACGGCAGCGGUGAAACCGGAGGCGGAGGGCCCGAGGAAGGCCGUGGCCACGCCCUAUGCCAAGAAGCUCGCCAAGCAGCAUAGGGUGGACAUCGAGAAGGUGGUCGGGACCGGGCCUCACGGGAGGAUUACUCCUGCCGAUGUCGAGGCUGCUGCUGGGAUCCCGCCCAAGAAGCCUAUUGCUCCGGCUCCAACUUCAGCUCCUGCUGCGACUCCAGUUACUCCAUCACCAGCUCCAACUACUGCCACCAAAGCUUCUGCGGCUCCUUUGCCACCAAUUCCGGGUUCGACUGUUGUUCCCUUCACCACUAUGCAGACAGCUGUGUCCAAGAAUAUGGUGGAGAGCCUCUCAGUGCCUACCUUCCGUGUAGGUUAUCCUGUGAUGACCGAUGCCCUUGAUGCUCUCUAUGAAAAGAUCAAGUCGAAGGGAGUCACUAUGACCGUACUGUUGGCCAAGGCUGCAGCAAUGGCACUCGCGCAGCAUCCAGUCAUCAAUGCCACCUGCAAGGAUGGGAAGAGUUUCACUUACAAUAGCAGCAUUAACAUUGCAGUGGCGGUAGCAAUUGAUGGUGGACUUAUUACUCCUGUUCUCCAAGACGCAGAUAAGUUGGAUAUUUACCUUCUGUCUCAAAGAUGGAAGGAGCUUGUAAGCAAGGCUCGUUCUAAACAGCUUUUGCCCAAUGAGUACAAUUUAGGAACAUUUACUUUAUCAAAUUUGGGUAUGUUUGGCGUGGACAGGUUUGAUGCUAUCCUUCCUCCCGGUCAGGGAGCUAUCAUGGCUGUGGGAGCUUCAAAACCCACUGUUGUUGCUGAUGGAGAUGGUUUUUUUACUAUUAAGAAUAAAAUGCUGGGAGAUAACCCAAGAAACGACCUGGUCUUGAUUGGGUUGGAUUCCAACAUCAGUUGGUUCAAUUCUGAUUCCAGAAAUUGAGAAAUUAAGUCUGUACCGGGUUAGCCUUUGACCCGAACCAACCCCAACACAUGUUAACCCCGAAGAUGUAAGAUGCUGUUGUACCAUCUGAGGCAUAUACAUGUCAAGAAGAGAAAGGCAUAUACAUGUGAAAAUCUAAAAAUCUAUCCAUCACCUUGCCAAUUUUACAGAAUUAUUACAAGAAAACAUGAUACAAGACCCAAAACUAGAUGCCAAUAACAGCCAUGCCAAAGCCAUAUCAGCCAUAUAUAUGCAUACAACUUGAUAUCUUCUGUCAAUAUGGUCCUCAGUACAACACUUACCAUACUGACCCCUGGUUGUUGCACUACCUUAUCUCAGUAAAAUUGGUUUAAAGCUAAUACGGUAAUGAUCUUAAUGAUGAAUUAUAUAACAUGAAACCCUCACAUCUUCUCAACUCAGAAAGAAAUGUCCUGGAUGGGGGGAGCAUCAGACGUGAUGCUUAGUCCCAAAUGAGGAAGAUUUAUUGGUUAUAAAGUGUGUCACCAUAUGAUUACCUUACAGUCGCAGCCAAUGUUUUAUUGGAAAUAUUCCAUAACAUCUGCCAUGCAAAUAUAGCUGUGAUGAGCAAAUCUUGGAUCUCCACACAAAUAUAGCUGUGAUGAGCAAAUCUUGGAUCUCCAACAUUUUAAAGUCUCCUUUCAGUUUUUGACUUGAUCGCCUCUACCUAGGUGGUGGAACUCAUCUUGCUAAAGCUUCAACAAAUAAAGCAUCAAAAUUCUCUCUUCUUUGUAACCUUACCUGUUCUGGUCAUUUUCAAUCUGCUUAUGAAACACUAUCUGCUAGCCAGAUACAGAGUUAUCUAAUGGUAUCUUGCGUGACUUUCCAGACAGCUAUUUACUCACCAUCUUGGAUCCCAUUGUCUAUCCUCAUCCUAUUGCUGAUUUAUUUCAUUAUCUUUCUGAUAUCAUUUGGUUUUCCAUUGAUCGGUUAUCAAUGUAAGUCCCAUUUUUUUUGUCUGCCACUGCCUUGUUUAGAAACUAGAAACCUUUGUCAAACCUGCUCGAUGGUGAAUUUCUCUUUGGUGUAUGAGGAAUUUUUACUGAAUGAUGUUUCCCAUGGAAUACUUGACAUGUGACCGUCAUUAUUUGAGAAAAAACAUGAUUGAUUCAACAUUAGCUGAUUCCUGCUCUUCUUGUUGGAAUAUGGUGAAUGUCACAGCAGACCACCGGAUUAUCUAUGGUGCUGACUUGGCAGCCUUCCUACAGACAUUUUCAAAGAUCGUUGAGAAUCCUGAAAGCCUGACAGUGUAGGUGCUUCAGCAAAUGGAGAUUAUAAGUGCUGUAAUUUAGCAUUGAACUAUGUUAGCAGCUUUUGUUUCCUGUAGGCCAGUGAGCAUUGAGUAUUGGAAUUUUCAGUUUUGCAGCAAGAUAGAGGUUUGUGUUUCCAAUUUGUUUUUCUUCUGUUGUGUUCCAAAAGGCAUUGCAUUUCAGUGUCAUCGGCAAAUUGAACAAAAAUCUUUGGAAAUUUUCUGGUCAAUAAUUUUAGAAAUGGAAGGUAUUUGUUUAAUA